UGUGUGAAGAAGGCCUUUUGGUUGUAAAGCACUUUGAAGCGAGGAGGAGGCGCUCUAGGUUAAUACCUUAGAAGCGUGGACGUUACUCGCAUGAAUAAGCACCGGCUAACUCUGUGCCAGCAGCCGCGGUAAUACAGAGGGUGCGAGCGUUAAUCGGAUUCUACUGGGCGUAAAGCGUACGUAGGCGGCUUUUUGAAGUCGGAUGUGAAAUACCCCGAGCUUAACUUGGGAAUUGCAUUCGAUACUGGGAAGCUAGAGUAUGGGAGAGGAUGGUAGAAUUCCAGGUGUAGCGGUGAAAUGCGUAGAGAUCUGGAGGAAUACCGAUGGCGAAGGCAGCCAUCUGGCCUAAUACUGACGCUGAGGUACGAAAGCAUGGGGAGCAAACAGGAUUAGAUACCCUGGUAGUCCAUGCCGUAAACGAUGUCUACUAGCCGUUGGGGCCUUUGAGGCUUUAGUGGCGCAGCUAACGCGAUAAGUAGACCGCCUGGGGAGUACGGUCGCAAGACUAAAACUCAAAUGAAUUGACGGGGGCCCGCACAAGCGGUGGAGCAUGUGGUUUAAUNCGAUGCAACGCGAAGAACCUUACCUGGUCUUGACAUAGUAGAAACUUUCCAGAGAUGGAUGGGUGCCUUCNNGAAUCUACAUACAGGUGCUGCAUGGCUGUCGUCAGCUCGUGUCGUGAGAUGU
rnacentral:rRNA from 1 species